UUAAAACGACACCGGCGCAACAUGCCCUCGACUGGGCGGGUAUUGUAGGACUCGGACCGACACCAUUGCCUUUCCCGGUGUGAAUCUUCGGCUUCGGUUCAAAAUCACGUCUCCUGGCGAGGAAUCGGAGAGCCUCGUGAGGCAGGUUCUUAGCUCAUCCUCAACAAAGUCGAACGCAAUCAAAAAAUGAUCUCAGCUCUCUGCGAGCUCGCUCUCGACAGUUUUAACGUCGAAAGAGUCGCAAGGGGAGACCGGGAGAGGGUGACGUCAUUGUUCUUCCAUCUUCUCUCAGCGCCAACUUUCGGACGGCAUUCCUUUUUGGCAGUCAUGGCAACCCACUAUUGCAAUCAAUCCAAUUUUCCCUUGUAGUAUUCAGUUCAAUGCUGGGCCGAUCGCCCAUAAUCUGUUUGUCGAAAUGCCGCUUAAGCAGUCUUCAUGCCGGUAGUUACCGUAUAUAUUGCCUUCGAAAACACUCGAGAACCCACUUCUUUGCGGACAUGCACGAACCGGAUUUCAAAGCAUGGAGCGACGUGAUCAGGGACUAUUGCACCAAUGCCCGACACAAGGAAACCGUUUCUUUUUUCCUUCAAAAGUUCCGGUCUUCCUCUGUUUUCAAACCCAAUUACCAAGUCCUUUCAUCUGUUCUCAAGUCCUGUACCGCCCUCUCGGCCCUCCAGUUGGGAAAGACUCUUCAUGGGCAUUCGUUAAAGCUCGGCCAUCUUUCUUGCUUGUGUAUAUCAAAAGCGCUGCUCAACUUGUAUGCAAAGUCCGGAACUUUGGAUGACUGCCAAAAGUUGUUUGGUCAGAUCCAUAGCCCCGAUGUUGUCCUUUGGAACAUUGUAUUGUCUGGGUUUGCUGGGUCCAAAGGGCUUGAGGCUGAGACAAUGAGGAUGUUCAAUAAAUUGCAUCUUGUCCGGGACCCCAAGAUGAGCUCUGUCACAUUAUGCAUCGUCCUUCCUUUGUGUGCUCGAUUAGGUGAUCUGGAUGCAGGGAAGAGGGCGCAUUCGCUUGUCAUUAAAUCUGGCUUGGACACACACACCCUUGUGGGAAACGCACUAAUCUCAAUGUACGCAAAAUGCGGGCGAGUUAUGACUGAUGCUUAUGCGGCAUUCACCUGCAUCCCUGACAAAGAUGUGGUUUCAUGGAAUGCAAUCAUCGCUGGGUUUGCAGAGAACAAGCUGAUAAAUGAUGCCUUCAGAAUGUUCCGUUGGAUGCUGAAAGGAUCAACGACACCCAAUUAUGCGACGAUUGUAAAUAUUUUGCCUGUUUGUGGUUUUCUGGAAAAUAGCACCGCUUGCUGCAUUGGAAGACAGAUACACUCUUUUGUGUUUCAACGAACUGAGCUUGCAGCAGAGAUCUCUGUCUGCAAUGCACUUAUGACAUUCUACUUAAGGAUUGGACUGGUAGAAGAGGCAGAGACCUUAUUUAGACAGAUGAAGGUGAGAGAUUUAGUUUCGUGGAAUUCAGUCAUUGCAGGAUAUGCAUCAAAUGAUGAAUGGUCAAGAGCACUGCAGCUUUUUCAUGAACUAGUCUUGACCGAGAGGUUUACCCUAGAUAGUGUCACUAUUGCUUGUGUUCUCCCUGUUUGUGCACAAUCAAGGCAGAUUCAGUGGGGCAAACAGAUCCACGGAUACGUACUUCGACACCCUGGCUUAUUUGGGGAUACAACAGUGAGGAAUAACUUGGUUCAUUUUUAUGCAAGAUGCGAUGAUGUAGAGGCGGCUUUUUUGUCGUUUUUUAUGAUUUCAAGUAGAGAUGUGGUAUCUUGGAACACGAUGCUCGAUGCCUUCAGUGAGAGAGGAUUUCAUAGCCAGUUUCUGGACCUUUUAAGCUGGAUGCUCAAAGAAGGAACUAAACCUGACGCUGUCACCAUGCUUAUCUUAGUAAAUUUCUCCAUUUCAGUUUCGAGAGUACAAUUGGUCAAAGAAUUACAUGGAUACAUUAUCAGGUCCGGUGUUUUGGUAGGGGAGAAAGAGUCCACUAUUGGAAACGCAAUGCUUGAAGCAUAUGGUAAAUGCGGUGAUGUGGAUGGUGCCUCGAAGAUUUUUAAUAGUUUAUUGAAUAAACAAUAUUCAGUCUCAUACGACUCAGCGGUCUCUGGCUAUGUGAACCAUGGAUCACAUGAUGAUGCGUAUAAGAUAUUAGACCGAAUGUUUGAAACAGAUCUCAUCGCUUGGAAUUCAAUGGUUAGAGUUUAUGCUGAAAAUGAAUGCUUCGAUGAAGCUCUAACUCUCUUUUAUCAGUUACAAGCUCGAGGAGCGAAGCCCGAUGAGCUGACAGUCAUGAGCCUCCUCCCUGUAUGUGCUCAGAUUGCCUCCAUUCAUUUGUUGAGGCAGUGUCAUGCAUAUACACUCAGAGCUUGCUUUGAGGAUGUUAGACUAAAUGCUGCUCUUUUAGACAUAUAUGCAAAAUGUGGAAGCAUAGCGUAUGCUUAUAAUCUUUUCCAGUUGAGCCCGCAUAAGGAUCUGGUGAUGUUUACCACAAUGGUUGGUGGCUUCGCUAUGCAUGGUAUGGGGGAAGAAGCACUUAAAAUUUUCUAUCACAUGAUUUCAAUGGGUGUAAAACCAGAUCAUGUUGUCAUCACUUGUGUAUUGUCUGCCUGCAGUCACGCUGGCCUUGUAAAUGAAGGAUUAGACGUAUUUGACUCGAUACAAAAUGUUCACAGAAUGACGCCAACUAUGGAACAGUAUGCUUGCCUAGUGGAUCUCCUUGCUCGAGGAGGUCGAGUGAAUGAUGCGUACUCUUUCGUGACUCAGAUGCCUGUUAAAGCUAAUGCCAAUAUUUGGGCGACCUUAUUGGGUGCGUGUAGGACUCACCAUGAGGUGGAAUUGGGUCGAGCAGUGGCAGACCAUCUUUUUCAAAUCGAAGCCAAUGACGCGGGGAACUACAUUGUGAUGUCAAAUCUUUAUGCUGCACAUGCCAGGUGGGAUGGUGUUUUGGAGAUGAGAAAGCUCAUCAAAACAAGAGAUCUGAGAAAGCCUGCUGGAUGCAGCUGGAUUGAAGUGGAUAGGAGAAAAAACGUGUUUAUUGCUGGAGACUACUCUCAUCCGGAAAGAAGCAUUAUAUUCAGCAUUUUAAGUAUCAUGGAUCAACAAAUCAAGGAGAGGCUUGCUGGAUCCUCUGUUGACAUGCUACUCAAUCCCACUUAAUGCCUAACAUUGCCGAGCAGACUUAAUUUGCACGCCUCGAUGUAAGAUAUCCUUGUCUUGCUUGGGUGUUGCAGAUGUAUGAUAUGAGGAAAUUUGAAUCUUGAAGGAGACUUCAUGCCAUUUGUUUCUCUGGGCUAAGUUGGUCACUCCACUGUUCCUCUACUCCCACUGGAUAAAAGGAAUUGUCUUGGGUAGACCCAUACGAGUUCCUUAACUCCUGUUCUAUUUUUCUUGAUAGUACAUUUUUGAACAGUUAUGAUUAAACUACUAAUUUUAA